GAUGAAGAACGCAGCGAACGUGCGAAACGUAAUGUGAAUUGCAGAAUUCAGUGAAUCAUCGAAUCUUUGAACGCAUCUUGCGCUCCUUGGUAUUCCGAGGAGCAUGCCUGUUUGAGUGUCGUGAAUACUCUCAACUUCAACCCUUUUUUCGGAAAGGGAGGAAGGUUGGACUUGGGUGUUUGUUGAAGUGCGAGCUUCGACUCAUCCUAAAUGCAUUAGCGAUCUGCCUCGAUCACACACAAUGUGAUAAUUAAAACUAAAGCAUUGUUUAAUGAUCAAGUCGAGACUGCUUCUAACUGUCGCAAGACAAUAACGUGCAUACAUUUGUGCAUGUCAUUUGACCUCAAAUCAGGUAGGACUACCCGCUGAACUUAAGCAUAUCAAUAAGGGAGGA
rnacentral:misc_RNA from 1 species